rnacentral:rRNA from 1 species
CAGCCGCCGCGGGAAUACGAAGGGGGCUAGCGUUGCUCGGAAUGACUGGGCGUAAAGGGCGCGUAGGCGGCGAUCAAAGUCAGGCGUGAAAUUCCUGGGCUCAACCUGGGGGCUGCGUUUGAUACUUGAUUGCUAGAGUGGGGAAGAGGGUCGUGGAAUUCCCAGUGUAGAGGUGAAAUUCGUAGAUAUUCGGAAGAACACCAGUGGCGAAGGCGGCUCACUGGCUCAUUCUAGACGCUGAGGUGCGAAAGCGUGGGGAGCAAACAGGAUUAGAGACCCGCGUAGUCCCUGUCUCUUAUAC